rnacentral:rRNA from 1 species
GAUGAACGCUGGCCGCGUGCCUAAUACAUGCAAGUCGAGCGAACAGACGAGGAGCUUGCUCUUCUGACGUUAGCGGCGGACGGGUGAGUAACACGUGGAUAACCUACCUUUAAUACUGGGAUAACUUCGGGAAACCGGAGCUAAUACCGGAUAACAUGUUGAACCUCAUGGUUUAACAGUAAAAGACGUUCUUGUCAUCACUUCUAUAUGGUUCCGCGCCGCAUUAGCUAGUUGGGAAGGUGACAGCAUACCAACGCAACGAUGCGUAGCCGACCUGAGAGGGUGAUCGGGCACACGGGAACUGGGACACGGUCCAGACUCCUACGGGAGGCAGCAGUAGGGAAUCUUACGCAAUGGGCGAAAGCGUGACGGAGCAACGCCGCGUGAGUGAAGAAGGUCUUCGGAUCGUAAAACUCUGUUAUUAGGGAAGAACAAAUGUGUAAGUAACUAUGCACGUCUUGACGGUACCUAAUCAGAAAGCCACGGCUAACUACGUG